rnacentral:rRNA from 1 species
AAUCAUGGCUCAGGACGAACGCUGGCGGCGUGCCUAAUACAUGCAAGUCGAACGAGAGCGACCGGUGCUUGCACUGGUCAAUCUAGUGGCGAACGGGUGAGUAACACGUGGGUAACCUGCCCAUUAGAGGGGGAUAACAUUCGGAAACGGAUGCUAAAACCGCAUAGGUCCUUUAACCGCAUGGUUGAAGGAGGAAAAGAGGCGCAAGCUUCUGCUGAUGGAUGGACCCGCGGUGCAUUAG